CAGAGGACAGAGCAGUCUAAUCAUCCUUCACCAAUCUCAAACUUGAGUCUCAGAGCCCAUCCCUGGUCAACCCAGGAUCACAUGCUGUUCUGGCCCUACCUGUGUCUGUGGGCAGCUCUUUACUCUCUCUGAGUUGGUUUCCUUGCGUCCUGCCUUCAGGGUCUGAUUCCUCCAGGAAGUGUCCAGCAUCCAGGACAGAUAAAAAAAAGAAAGGAGUGUCACAGAGAGCCCACCCCACACCUGGACUCUGGCAUGGUAGCCAUACUCCAGGUAAUCAGACUCCAACCUGGAGUGGCCAACAGGUGACCACUGUGGCCCACCUCCCUCCCAGAGCCUGGGGGAACCUCACAGCACCAGAGCUCGGGGCUGGAAACCAGCUGGAAAGGAGCCCACUUAGAGGGGCUGAGAGCUUCAGGAAGGGAAAAGGGGAGGGAGACAGUGAGUGAGGAGGAGAAAGGGAAUAAAGAGGAAGAGAAGGAGAGAUCAAAGGAAGACAGACAAAUGGGUAGGGCAGGGAGACAGGGCUAUUGGUGGGUGUUGGUUGUGCAGCAGGGGAACCCGGGUGUGAGUCCUAGCACUCACACAACAGCCUGCCAUGUGCCUGGAAACCUGGUUGUGUGUGUGUGUGUGGGGUUAGACAGUGGAUUACCAGGACUUGCUGGCUGGCCAGUCUCACCAUGUCAGCAAGUUGCAAGUUCAACAAAAGACCUUGUCUCAAAGAUAAAGGUGGAGAACCUGGCAGUGAUGGUACACAACUUUAUUCCCAGCACUUGGGAGGCAGAGGCAGGAGGAUCUCUGAGUUCAAGGCCAGUUUGGACUACAGAGUGAAUUCCAGGCGACUCAGGCUAUACAGAGAAACCUCUUUCAAAAAACCAACAAACCAAAAACAAAAGAAACAAAAAACCCAAAACAACAACAAAAAAACAAAAAACAAAAAAACCUCACACCAAUAAAUAAGCAAAAUAAAAUUAAGGUUGAGAAUCACAGAGGAGACACCAGAUGUUGAUGUCUUAGCUCCACACACAGGUACUCACAGGUGAGUACACCAUAAACAGACACACGCACACAUACAAACAACAAAAAUUAAAUAGGUGAUACCCAAUAUUGAUUUCUGUCUUACACAAGACACACACACACACUGGAGAUGACAGGAAGAGUGCAAGAAAGAGGAGGGAAAACUAGGAGGACCACAGGAGCAUGAGUGACUGGGUAGAGCACCAUGAGGAAUGCCAGACAGAGGCGGGGAGCCAGAAAGGAGAAGGGAGAAGUGAUCAGCAGCGUGGAACAGAAUAGGUAGGUGAGUAGGAGAGACUGAAAAUCAAAGACAAGAAAGGCAGGGAAAUGGUCAAGGAAGAUAAACAGUAGAGAUGCCAAGGGAGAGGGGUAACAUAAUUUGAAUGAGGGAGGAAUGACCAUCGGGAUGGGGUGGUGAUGUUACCGUUGGGAGAGAGAUGGGUUGUAGAGAAAUGGAGGAAGAAAGAGAGUGGUUGUGACAGGGAACAGAACAAAGGCAGAUUCCAGGAAGACAGGACAGAAACGGGGUAGAGAGCCCCAGAAAGGAGGGAUGGGGUGCCUAGGGAGGGAAGGAGGUGGGAGUAGAGAAAAGAGCAGGAAGACAUGGCGGGUAGAGAAGGUGAGGGAGGGGGGCUGGGUGUACUGAACGCUCUUGAUCCAGACAGGGCUGUGUGGAGGGACCCAGGAGGACAUCAAGCCCUGGGUAUACUGCCCCACAACUUCUGAGAACCCAGCACAGGUGACAGGGAAGUCCAGAGGGAAUGGGGGGAGGUCGAAGACAGGAGACAAGGAAGAGGCAUCAGGGCAAGGCCUGAGGGAGCUAUGAAACGGGAAAUGUUAUGAUGGAGAAAUGAGCAGGGCGGUGGUGGUGCUCGCCUGGAAUCUCAGCACUCAGGAGGCAGAGGCCAGCUUGGCCUACAGAGUGAGUUCCAGGACAGCUGGAGAUGUUACACAGAGAAUCCCUGUCUCAAAAAUACAAAAGAAAAGAGAGAGAGAGAAACUAGAGUGCGUGUAAAGUACAGAGCAGAGGAAGAUAAUUUUAAAAAGUGUGAAGGUGCCAUAGGAAAAGGGGGAGGAAGAGGAGGAAAGAGAUGGGAAGAGAAAUGAGGCAGGGGAUUAGGAGGGGAUGGAGCAGGAGUAGACUGAGUUGGAGAGAGGGUAAGGAGGAAGAGAGAAGGGAGACAAAGGGGAAGAGGAGGAGGUUGUGGAAAGGGGGCACAGGAGGAAGGGACUCGGAUCAAGAGCGGGCGCGGAGGAGGAGAGGUGAGGACAUGAAGGAGGCAGAGGAUGCCCACGAAGAACAAGAGUAAGGAGAAAAGCGGAGGAAGAGAGAACAGAUGGGGGAGAAGGAGAGAAUAUGGCAGGAAGAGGGGAGGGAAGAAAAGGAGAUGGAAGAGGAAAACAGGAGUUUGUAUGGAUAAGAGAAAAGUCAAUGGAGAAAUGGGGGACGGGAAGAAGCGAGUGGAAGAGGUCAGUCCACAAGAAAGCUAAUAGGACACAGGAGACAUUAGAAACAAGAGCAGGGAGGAAAAGCAGAGGGACAGAAGAAAAGAGGAAAGAGGCACAGAAUGAAGAGGGGGAUGCAGUGUGAGCAGAGGAGGAAGGAACAAGUAGGAGGAGGACCACACUCCAGCCACAAGGGAGACAGAGGAGGAAAAGUAGGAGGGAGGACCACACUCCAGCCACAAGGGAGACAGAGGAGGAAAGGUAGGAGGGAGGACCACACUCCAGCCACAAGGGAGACAGAGGAGGAAAGGUAGGAGGGAGGACCACACUCCAGCCACAAGGGAGACAGAGGAGGAAAGGUAGGAGGGAGGACCACACUCCAGCCACAAGGGAGACAGAGGAGGAAAAGUAGGAGGGAGGACCACACUCCAGCCACAAGGGAGACAGAGGAGGAAAAGUAGGAGGGAGGACCACACUCCAGCCACAAGGGAGACAGAGGAGGAAAGGUAGGAGGGAGGACCACACUCCAGCCACAAGGGAGACAGAGGAGGAAAGGUAGGAGGGAGGACCACACUCCAGCCCCAAGGGAGACAGAGGAGGAAAGGUAGGAGGGAGGACCACACUCCAGCCCCAAGGGAGAC
ensembl:lncRNA